CUGUGGAUAAAUGUGGUUUGGAGGGUGUGGUUCCAACCCAAUAUAAGGUUUUGUGGGUAGAAUUGCUUGUUAAACUAUACAUUUGUUGACUUUUAUCUAUAAAGGAAAAUGAUUUUAUUUGAAAUGAAAUGUGAACGUGUUAAAUAUAUAAACCACUUCCACGUGCCGCUGAGGAAGGUUUUGUCGGCAUUAGAAGAAAAGACUGACCAUGGCA
rnacentral:lncRNA from 1 species